GUUUGAUCAUGGCUCAGAUUGAACGCUGGCGGGAUGCUUUACAUGCAAGUCGGGCGGCAGCACGGACUUCGGUCUGUGUGGUGGCGAGCGGGUGAGUAAUGUAUCGGAACGUGCCUAGUAGCGGGGGAUAACCCGCGCCGGCGUAGCUAAUACCACAUACGCCCUUCGGGGGAAAGCGAAGCCUUCGGGCCUCGCACUAUUAGAAGCGGCCGAUAUCGGAUUAGCUGGAUUGGUGGGGUAACGGCUCACCAAGGCGACGAUCAGCAACUGGUUUGAGGACGACCAACCACACUGGGACUGAGACACGAAAGCUGAACUCUACGGGAGGCAGCAGUGGGGAAUUUUGGACAAUGGGGAAACCUGAUCCAGCCAUCCCGCGUGUGCGAUGAAGCCUUCGGGUUGUAAAGCACUUUUGGCAGGAAGAAACGGCACGGGAUAAUACCCGUGCAACAGCGGCUGCAGAGCCGGCACCGUAUGCGGUGGCAGCCGCGGUAAUACGUAGGGUGCAAGCGUUAAUCGGAAUUGCACUGGGCGUAAAGCGUGCGCAGGCGGUUCGGAAAAGAAGAUCUUGAAAUCCCAGAGCUUAACUUUGGAACUGCAUUUUUAACUACCGAGCUAAGAGUGUGUCAGGGAGGUGGAAUUCCGCGAUGUGGCAGUGAAAUGCGUAGAAUAUGCAAAAGGAGGGGAACACCGAUGGCGAAGGCGGCCUCCCCUGGGAUAACACUGACGCUCAUGCACAGCGUGAGAACCGACAGGAUUAGAUACCCUGGUAGUCCACGCCCUAAACAGUGUCAACUAGCUGUUACUUGGGGCCUUCCGGGCCUUGGUAGCGCAGCUAACGCGUGAAGUUGACCGCCUGAUACAGUCGCAAAGAUUAAAACUCAAAGGAAUUGACGGGGACCCGCACAAGCGGUGGAUGAUGUGGAUUAAUUCGAUGCAACGCGAAGAGCGCACCUACCCUUGACAUAUCUGGAAUCCCGAAGAGAUUUAGGAGUGCUCGCAAGAGAGAACCGGAACACAGGUGCUGCAUGGCUGUCGUCAGCUCGUGUCGUGAGAUGUUGGGUUAAGUCCUCAACAGGCGCAACCCUUGUCAUUAGUUGCUACGAAAGGGCACUCUAUUGAGACUGCCGGUGACAAACCGGAGGAAGGUGGGGAUGACGUCAAGUCCUCAUGGCCCUUAUGGGUAGGGCUUCACACGUCAUACAAUGGUCGAGACAGAGGGUCGCCAACCCGCGAGAGGCCAAUCCCGAAACCCGAUCGUAGUCCGGAUCGCAGUCUGCAACUCGGCUGCGUGAAGUCGAAGAAUCUGCUAGUAAUCGCGGAUCAGCAUGUCGCGGUGAAUACGUUCCCGGGUCUUGUACACACCGCCCGUCACACCAUGGGAGUGGAGGUUUUACCCGUGAAUUCUUCAACGUAAGGAGGGCGAUUACCACGGUAGGAUUCAUGACUGGGGUGAAGUCGUAACAAGGUAA
rnacentral:rRNA from 1 species